rnacentral:lncRNA from 1 species
GUAACAUUGCUUGCAAGCUAUAGUCGGUAUGACUCUACCACUUCAUAAUGCCUUGAUAAUGGACUUCUUAAAUUGGUGGUUUGGUUAUGUGCUAAAUGUUUUAUUUGGGUAAUAAUGGUGGGUUGUGAUACUGUAAUGCCUCGAGACUACCCCCUGGAUAGCAUACGGUGCUUAGGACCAUAAGUGAUCCCAAGCUAAUCCAUGAACUGC